CUCCCUCUCUCCUCCCUCUUUCCUCUUUCCCUCUCUCUCUCGCUCGCUCUCUCUUUGCCGGCCUCAUCGGAGAGAGUUGCAGUUCCUUCUGGGCCUGUGUGGACUAGGGGCACAAUCCGUCGCCUGACUGGCAGGAGGGGAAAGCGGAGACUCCUUCAGGUUUCCAAAGAGGUCCGAGCAGACAGCAUUAGUGAGCAACCUGAAUAAAGGUCCUCUGGUGGCAGCAAGUUGGAAGUGUACACCAGACAGUCUUUCGGGAGCUGUAAUUCUGGUUACUGCAGCAGAAGUAACAGCGUAAGACCAAUUGCAUAUACUCUAGUUUGGAAGGUUAUACAGAGAUUCAUGAAGUCCAAAAGCUUAUGCUACUAACUAUACUCAAGCCACAGAAUCAACUUGUGUAUUUUACUGCUGGUGCCUCUGAGACAAGGUACCACAGCACUGCAAAACUUGAAAACAGCUGAGUAAUACUUUUAUUAUUAUUGUUAUUUGCUGCUUUGAUAGGUCACCUUUUUCUAUUUCUUGGAAAGGAAAGAUGGACUUAGGGAUCUGUGUAAUAUAGUUAUGCUGAGGUGAGGUGUGUUUUCUGUUUCUGUAUUAUUGACAUCUUGACCAUUAUGCAACCAGUAAAGAUUACUGGCAAUAAUGUUUUCUUCUGAGGUCAGGGAUAUUGAUUUUGGACUGUAAGCAGAGCUGAUGUGAUAAAUCUUAUGGUAACAGUACUGUUAGGAUUUAAUUUUU